rnacentral:rRNA from 1 species
UACGUAGGGUGCGAGCGUUGUCCGGAAUUAUUGGGCGUAAAGGGCGCGUAGGCGGCCUUCUAAGUCGAACGUGAAAUCCCCGGGCUCAACCCGGGAACUGCGUCCGAUACUGGAAGGCUUGAAUCCGGGAGAGGGAUGCGGAAUUCCAGGUGUAGCGGUGAAAUGCGUAGAUAUCUGGAGGAACACCGGUGGCGAAGGCGGCAUCCUGGACCGGCAUUGACGCUGAGGCGCGAAAGCCAGGGGAGCAAACGGG